rnacentral:tRNA from 1 species
GAGGGUAUAGCUCAGUGGUAGAGCACAUGCUCGGUGUACAGGAGGUCCUGGGUUCAAUCCCCAGGGCCUCG